GACGAACGCUGGCGGCGUGCUUAACACAUGCAAGUCGAACGGAAAGGCCCUGCUUUUGUGGGGUGCUCGAGUGGCGAACGGGUGAGUAACACGUGAGUAACCUGCCCUUGACUUUGGGAUAACUUCAGGAAACUGGGGCUAAUACCGGAUAGGAGCUCCUGCUGCAUGGUGGGGGUUGGAAAGUUUCGGCGGUUUGGGAUGGACUCGCGGCUUAUCAGCUUGUUGGGGGGGUAGUGGCUUACCAAGGCUUUGACGGGUAGGCGGCCUGAGAGGGUGACCGGCCACAUUGGUACUGAGAGACGGCCCAGACUCCUACGGGAGGCAGCAGUGGGGAAUAUUGCACAAUGGGCGGAAGCCUGAUGCAGCAACGCCGCGUGCGGGAUGACGGCCUUCGGGUUGUAAACCGCUUUCGCCUGUGACGAAGCGUGAGUGACGGUAAUGGGUAAAGAAGCACCGGCUAACUACGUG
rnacentral:rRNA from 1 species